rnacentral:rRNA from 1 species
AGAUUGAACGCUGGCGGCAGGCCUAACACAUGCAAGUCGAGCGGCAGCACGGGUACUUGUACCUGGUGGCGAGCGGCGGACGGGUGAGUAAUGCCUAGGAAUCUGCCUGGUAGUGGGGGAUAACGCUCGGGAAACGGACGCUAAUACCGCAUACGUCCUACGGAGAAAGCAGGGGACCUUCGGGCCUUGCGCUAUCAGAUGAGCCGUAGGUCGGUAUUAGCUUAGGUUGGUGAGGUAUGCUCACGAGGCACGAUCCGUAAUGGUCUGAGAGGAUGAU